CCAUUGCUCAGUUGGUAGAGCACAAGGCUCUUAACCUUGUGGACGUGGGUUCAAGCCCCAUGGUGGG
rnacentral:tRNA from 1 species